rnacentral:tRNA from 1 species
GGAGAGGUGUCCGAGUUGGCCGAAGGAGCACGACUGGAAAUCGUGUAGGCGGGGACAACCUGCCUCGAGGGUUCGAAUCCCUCUCUCUCCGCCA